rnacentral:tRNA from 1 species
GGGGGCGAAUGGGGGCUGGUGUCCCUCCCGGUCUUCAAAACCGUGUGUGGCGUCGAAAAGGCGCUUGGUGGGUUCGAUUCCUACACGCUCCCGCCA